UUAGGGCAAGAGCUAAAAAAAGUAGACUGGUUCUUAGUCAAGCCACCCCACCCUCUUGCCACAGUUACAACCUGGGUGUGAAAUAGGGCCUCUAGUUUGAGUUUUUGCCAUCUAUUAGGAAAAAGCACACAGUUUGCCUGAUUCUUAAAAGGCGAAAGAUGGCGCGAGUAGCGGAAACUGACAAAAUAAUCCAGGGCGCAAAGAUACUCCUGGCUGAUUUGGAAUUAAAAGCUCAAAAAGCGUGGGUCGGCCAGGAACAGAAGACACAUGAACCAACUAGUCCUCUGCUAGCAGGUGCCAGCAGCUAAGGCUCAGUGAAGGCAUAACAAGUUGCGGGGUCAUUACAGCAGGAAGAGUAUCUAGGAGAGGCUUAGCCGAGAGGACAGACGUGUUGGGAUGGAAAUGCCUGAACUGAAAGUCUUUAGGCUCCUCGGCUCUCUUGAGGCAAAGACAAUCUGAGUGCAUUUCCUUUGCUGUGGCAGAAAAGCACUGCCCUGAACCCCACCUUUGCUGGAAGGAGGAGUAAGAAGGGUUAACAUUUUUAUAUCUAUACCUCCCUUGACGAAAGCUUAUCCUGAGUUGGAAGAGUGGGAGACACUCCUCCGACACAGAGCGAGGAGCUUGGGGAAUUGGACACCCUCAUAGUCGUGGAAAUGAGCAAGGAUGUUAACAUAAAUCCCAAAUCCGUUCUUCUGUGAUGUUUACUUCCUUUCUCUUCGGUCUUGAUACAAUACGAGCAGUAGCUGCGGGCUCCGGGUAGGGCUGCGGUGUCUCGGUGCCUUUUCUCUUUCAGGACUGAGCGUCUCCUUUAAUGGGCGGGGCCGGAACUGGCCGAGGGUCCCCGGCUUUGUGCGUGUCGGGGGCGGAGUUUGGAGAAGGCCCUUGCAGCAUGGCCGCCGGCACUGCAACUGCCUUGGCGUUUUUGAGUCAGGAGAGCCGAACGCGGGCCGGGGGUGUCGGGGGCCUGCGGGUCCCAGCCCCGGUCACUAUGGACAGUUUUUUCUUCGGCUGUGAGCUCUCCGGCCACACCCGCUCCUUCACCUUUAAGGUAGAGGAAGAGGAUGAUGCGGAGCACGUGCUGGCACUAACCAUGCUCUGCCUCACCGAGGGAGCCAAAGACGAGUGUAAUGUGGUAGAAGUUGUGGCCCGGAACCAUGACCAUCAGGAGAUCGCAGUCCCUGUGGCCAACCUCAAGCUGUCCUGCCAACCCAUGCUCAGUCUGGACGACUUCCAGCUCCAACCACCUGUAACCUUCCGCCUGAAGUCGGGCUCUGGCCCUGUGCGGAUCACUGGGCGGCACCAGAUUGGUGAGAAGAGGAAAGGACUCUCUCCUUUGCUUCCAGUAGACUCUCCCAUCAGGCUUCCCCUACUCCGCACUCCUGCCCCAUCCCACCUUCAUCUCCCAGUGCAGUCCUGUACAGGUCUGCGUGCCCUUCACGCUGUGCCCUGUGCAUGACAUGCCCUCUCCUUUCCGUCUACUCAAGCCUACCUCCUCCAUGGAACAUGGCCCAGCUUCUCCAGCUCCAGUGAUGAAGACUCCUUUGGCUCUUUGUGACCCAGUUCAGGGUCUGAAGUUCUUCCCACCUAGCCCAUAAGCACUGGGAGGUCAGGGUCCCUGCAAGCCUAGAACCACAGGGCAUGAAGAAAUGGCAUGCGGUGUGAAAGUGUCUGGUCUUAACAUCCCAUCCUACUGCUUGUGUGUCCACCAGUUACGAUGAGCAAUGAUGUUUCCGAGGAGGAGAGCGAGGAACAAGAAGACAGUGACGAGGAAGAAGCUGAGCUGUGCCCCAUCCUUCCUGCCAAAAAGCAGGGGGGCAGGCCCUAGCCCUCCUUGGUCAGCUCCAUGCGCCAUGCACUGCCAUGAACCCUGUUCCCCGAGAAGUUUCAAGAAUUGUAAAUGUUCCUUCCUUAAAGAGGAGAGCUUGGGUGGGGUUUGGGUGGGAGGGACUUGGGUCUUUGGUGCUAGGAGAGGGCCUGUGCUCCACACAGCCCUGGUUUUCUGAUCUUGCACCAUUCUUGGGGUCUCUCUUCUCACCUGUCUGUGAGGAUUAGAAGUUAGUGCCUGAAGCUCAGAACUACACAUUUUUAAUAGUUUUUACAUUUUUGGAUAAAGGUUGAAAUAAAGUGGUGUGGGGUUUUUGCA